CCACCUGGAUUUGACUUACACGCUUUUAUUUUUUGUAGAUGUUUAAAGCUCAUACACACAAAUCGUAUCAUCACAUUUGAUAGGCCCCAAAAGGCGCGCUCGGCGCGUUUCGUGUAGCAAAGCCCAUCAGAGUCAAAGAUUCAAAGCGGCUCUCCCCAAAAACACACUCGCUGUUAGGAAAAAUCCACCAAACAGUACCCGAAAAAAA